rnacentral:rRNA from 1 species
UACGUAGGGGGCAAGCGUUGUCCGGAAUCAUUGGGCGUAAAGCGCGUGUAGGCGGCCCGAUAAGUCCGCUGUGAAAGUCCAGGGCUCAACCCUGGAAUGCCGGUGGAUACUGUCGGGCUCGAGUCCGGAAGAGGCGAGUGGAAUUCCUGGUGUAGCGGUGAAAUGCGCAGAUAUCAGGAGGAACACCGGUGGCGAAGGCGGAUCUCUGGGCCGUAACUGACGCUGAGGAGCGAAAGCAUGGGGAGCGAACAGG